rnacentral:rRNA from 1 species
UACAGAGGGUGCAAGCGUUGUUCGGAAUUACUGGGCGUAAAGGGCGUGUAGGCGGCUUAGCAAGUCAGAUGUGAAAUCCCGGGGCUUAACUUCGGAAGUGCAUUUGAAACUGCUAGGCUAGAGUGAAGUAGAGGUUGGUGGAAUUCCCAGUGUAGAGGUGAAAUUCGUAGAUAUUGGGAGGAACACCGGUGGCGAAGGCGGCCAACUGGGCUUUAACUGACGCUGAGGCGCGAAAGCGUGGGGAGCAAACAGG